rnacentral:rRNA from 2 species
GUCUGACGGAGCACGCCGCGUGAGUGAUGAAGGUUUUCGGAUCGUAAAGCUCUGUUGUUAGGGAAGAACAAGUGCGAGAGUAACUGCUCGCACCUUGACGGUACCUAACCAGAAAGCCACGGCUAACUACGUGCCAGCAGCCGCGGUAAUACGUAGGUGGCAAGCGUUGUCCGGAAUUAUUGGGCGUAAAGGGCUCGCAGGCGGUUUCUUAAGUCUGAUGUGAAAGCCCCCGGCUCAACCGGGGAGGGUCAUUGGAAACUGGGAAACUUGAGUGCAGAAGAGGAGAGUGGAAUUCCACGUGUAGCGGUGAAAUGCGUAGAGAUGUGGAGGAACACCAGUGGCGAAGGCGACUCUCUGGUCUGUAACUGACGCUGAGGAGCGAAAGCGUGGGGAGCGAACAGGAUUAGAUACCCUGGUAGUCCACGCCGUAAACGAUGAGUGCUAAGUGUUAGGGGGUUUCCGCCCCUUAGUGCUGCAGCUAACGCAUUAAGCACUCCGCCUGGGGAGUACGGUCGCAAGACUGAAACUCAAAGGAAUUGACGGGGGCCCGCACAAGCGGUGGAGCAUGUGGUUUAAUUCGAAGCAACGCGAAGAACCUUACCAGGUCUUGACAUCCUCUGACAACCCUAGAGAUAGGGCUUUCCCUUCGGGGACAGAGUGACAGGUGGUGCAUGGUUGUCGUCAGCUCGUGUCGUGAGAUGUUGGGUUAAGUCCCGCAACGAGCGCAACCCUUGAUCUUAGUUGCCAGCAUUCAGUUGGGCACUCUAAGGUGACUGCCGGUGACAAACCGGAGGAAGGUGGGGAUGACGUCAAAUCAUCAUG